rnacentral:lncRNA from 1 species
CCGCAAAAUGAAAACUCGUUAAUUUUGAAAUAAUUCUAAUGUAAAUAUAUUAAACUAAAUAAUAAAAUGUAAUAUAGUUAAAAUUAAUAUAAAACAUAUGAUUAAAUCAACACAAGAGUAUUUUGGUAAUUUGUUUACUAAAAUCAUUUGAAUGGAAAUGAAAAUAAAAAAAUAAACAUAAGAUCCACUUAGAUGAUUCAUCUAUAUGAGCUAUGUGGAUGGACAAACAAAUAAUCACAAAAAUCUGAAUGAAUCAUUUGAAUAGAUCAUACAAAUGAAUCAUUUGGAUGGAGAUGACAAAUGGUGAAACAAACAGCCCCUAUGUUAUUACAAAAUGGGUGGAGAAUAUUAACAAUUCUAUGAAUGGUUCCAUUGUAUUUUGAGCAUCCUUAAUAUCAUUUGAUUUAACAUACAUAAAAUAAAAAGAUUUCACAACACAAAAGACACUUUUUAAGUGGAAAAUCUAUACUAAUAAAAGGAAGCUUUUGAGACUACAUAGAGCGUUCACAUCAGCGGUAAAAAAUUCUUCUAAAAAAUGACAUUUGGCAUUAACAAAAAAUAAAAAAUAAAUAUACAUAGAAAGAAAAAUAAAUAAUAAGUAAAUAUACAACAUAAGAAAUAGAAAUAUUACAUUAAACAUUUAUACGUAAAUAUACAAUAUAAGGAAAAAUAAAUGAAAAAUAAAUAUACAUUAUAAGAAAUAGAAAUAUUACAUUAAACAUCUAUAAUAAUUUAUCAUCUAAUAUAAAAGCAAGAAAAUUAGAAUAAGUAAAUAUAUAAUAAAAAAAUAAAAAAAUUAUAUUAAACAUCUAUCUGAAAAAUGUAUCUAUACUAAUAAAAUGGAGCUUUUAAGGCUCAAUAGAGCGUCCACAUCAGCGAAAAAAAACAUUUUGUGAAAGAUGACACGUGUCAUCAGUAAAAAAUAAAAAAAUAAAUAUACAUAUAAAGAAAAAUAAAUAAUAAGUAAAUAUACAAUAUAAAAAAGAAAAUUAUUACAUUAAACAAUAAUAAGUGAGGCUCCAUAGGGCGUCGACAUCAGCGGUAAAAAUGUUUUCUAAAAAAUGACACGUGGCAUUAACAAAAAAAUAAAAAAUAAAUAUACAUAUAAAAAAAUAAAUAAUAAGUAAAUAUGCAAUAUAAGAAAUAGAAAUAUUACAUUAAAAAACUAAUAGGUAAAUAUACAAUACUAUACUAAUAAAAGGAAGCUUUUGAGACUACAUAGAGCGUCCACAUCAGCGGUAAAAAAUUCUUCUAAAAAAUGACAUUUGGCAUUAACAAAAAAUAAAAAAUAAAUAUAAAUAGAAAGAAAAAUAAAUAAUAAGUAAAUAUACAACAUAAGAAAUAGAAAUAUUACAUUAAACAUUUAUACGUAAAUAUACAAUAUAAGGAAAAAUAAAUGAAAAAUAAAUAUACAUUAUAAGAAAUAGAAAUAUUACAUUAAACAUCUAUAAUAAUUUAUCAUCUAAUAUAAAAGCAAGAAAAUUAGAAUAAGUAAAUAUAUAAUAAAAAAUAAAAAAAUUAUAUUAAACAUCUAUCUGAAAAAUGUAUCUAUACUAAUAAAAUGGAGCUUUUAAGGCUCAAUAGAGCGUCCACAUCAGCGAAAAAAAACAUUUUGUGAAAGAUGACACGUGUCAUCAGUAAAAAAUAAAAAAUAAAUAUACAUAUAAAGAAAAAUAAAUAAUAAGUAAAUAUACAAUAUAAAAAAGAAAAUUAUUACAUUAAACAAUAAUAAGUGAGGCUCCAUAGGGCGUCGACAUCAGCGGUAAAAAUGUUUUCUAAAAAAUGACACGUGGCAUUAACAAAAAAAUAAAAAAUAAAUAUACAUAUAAAAAAAUAAAUAAUAAGUAAAUAUGCAAUAUAAGAAAUAGAAAUAUUACAUUAAAAAACUAAUAGGUAAAUAUACAAUAUAAGAAAAAAUAAAUGAAAAGCAAAUAUACAUUAUAAGAAAUAGAAAUAUUGCAUUAAACAUCUAUCAUAAUUUAUCUUCUGAUAUAAAAGCAAGAAAAGCUUUUGAGGCUCCAUUGGGCGUCCACAUCAGCGGUAAAAAAAUCUUCUAAAAAAUGACAUUUGGCAUUAACAAAAAAUAAAAAAUAAAUAUACAUAGAAAGAAAAAUAAAUAAUAAGUAAAUAUACAGCAUAAGAAAUAGAAAUAUUACAUUAAACAUUUAUAGGUAAAUAUACAAUAUAAGGAAAAAUAAAUGAAAAGUAAAUAUACAUUAUAAUAAAUAGAAAUAUUACAUUAAACAUCUAUAAUAAUUUAUCAUCUAAUAUAAAAGCAAGAAAAUUAGAAUAAGUAAAUAUACAAUAAAAAAAUAAAAAAAUAUAUUAAACAUCUAUCUGAAAAUGUAUCUAUACUAAUAAAAUGGAGCUUUUGAGGCUCAAUAGAGCGUCCACAUCAGCGAAAAAAAAACAUUUUGUGAAAGAUGACACGUGUCAUUAGUAAAAAAUAAAAAAUAAAUAUACAUAUAAAGAAAAAUAAAUAAUAAGUAAAUAUACAAUAUAAAAAAUACAAUUAUUACAUUAAACAAUAAUAAGUGCGGCUCCAUAGGGCGUCGACAUCAGCGGUAAAAAUGUUUUCUAAAAAAUGACACUUGGCAUUAACAAAAAAAUAAAAAAUAAAUAUACAUAUAAAGAAAAAUAAAUAAUAAGUAAAUAUGCAAUAUAAGAUAUAUAAAUAUUACAUUAAAAAAUAAUAGGUAAAUAUACAAUAUAAGAAAAAAUUAAUGAAAAGUAAAUAUACAUUAUAAGAAAUAGAAAUAUUGCAUUAAACAUCUAUCAUAAUUUAUCUUCUGAUAUAAAAGCAACAAAAUUAGAAUAAGUAAAUAUAUAAUUAAAAAAUAAAAAAAAACUAUAUUAAACAUCUAUCUGAAAAAUUUAUCUAUACUAAUAAAAUAGAGCUUUUGAGGCUCCAUAAAACAUCUACAUCAGCGGAAAAAAAAACUUUUUCUAAAAGAUGAUACGUGUCAUUAAUAAAAAAUAAAUAUACAUAUAAAGAAAAAUAAAUAAUAAGUAAAUAUACAAUAUAAGAAAUAGAAUUAUUACAUUAAACAAUAAUAAGUAAAUAUACAAUAUAAGAAAAAAUAAACUAAAAGUAAAUAUACAAUAUAAGAAAUAUAAAUAUUACAUUAAACAUCAAUCAUAAUUUAUCAUUUGAUACAAUUAAGAAAUGAAAAAAAACUAAAUUAAAAAUCUAUCUGAAAAAUGUAUAGUGAAAUAAAUAAUAACUAAAUACACAACAUAAAAAUAGAAAUAUUAUAUUUUAUAAUUAUCGUAAUAUUAGAAUAAAUAAAUGAAAAUAUAAGAAAAAAUAAAUAUUAAGUAAAUAUAGUAUAUAAGAAAUAAAAAUAUUACAUUAAAUAUAUAUCGUAAUAUUAUCAUUAAUAUAAAAACAAGAAAUUUAGAAUAAAUAAAUAUACAAAAUAAGAAAGAUAAACAAUAAGUAAAUAUAAAAUAUAAUAAUGGAAAAACUAAAUUGAGCAUAUAUCUGAAAAAUGCAUAGUGAAAUAAAUAAUAAGUAAAUAUACAACAUAAAAAUAUUAGAUUAAACAUUUAUUAUAAUAUUAAAAUAACUAAAUAUAAAAUAUACGAAUCUAUACUAACAAAAAUGAGCUUUUGAGGCUCCAUAGAGAGUCCACAUUAGCAAAAAAAAACUUCUUCUAAAAGAUGACACUUGACAUUAAUAAAAAAAUAUAUACGUAUAAAGAAAAAGAGAUAAUUAGUAAAUAUACAAUAUAAGGAAAAAUAAAUUAAAAAAUACAAUAUAAGAAAUAGAAAUAUUACAUUAAAUAUCUAUCAUCAAUUAACAUUUGAUAUAAAAGCAAGAAAAUUAGAAUAAGUAAAUAUACAAUUAAGAAAUGAAAAAAAAAACUAACUAAACAUCUAUCUGAAAAAUGUAUAGUUAAAUAAAUAAUAACUAAAUACACAAUACAAAAAAUAGAAAUAUUAUAUUAUACAAUUAUCGUAAUAUAAGAAAAAAUAAAUAUAAAAUAUAACAAAAAAAUAAAUAUUAAGUAGAGAAAUUGCCACAAAUAGCACAUUCAUAGUACCACUUUUCAGGUUUACACUAACCACUUUUACCAUCACUUUUAAUGAAGAGUAAAAGACAAUUAUA